rnacentral:rRNA from 1 species
CCUUGACAUACUAAGAACUUUCCAGAGAUGGAUUGGUGCCUUCGGGAACUUAGAUACAGGUGCUGCAUGGCUGUCGUCAGCUCGUGUCGUGAGAUGUUGGGUUAAGUCCCGCAACGAGCGCAACCCUUUUCCUAUUUGCCAGCGGGUCAUGCCGGGAACUUUAAGGAUACUGCCAGUGACAAACUGGAGGAAGGCGGGGACGACGUCAAGUCAUCAUGGCCCUUACGGCCAGGGCUACACACGUGCUACAAUGGUCGGUACAAAGGGUUGCUACCUCGCGAGAGGAUGCUAAUCUCAAAAAGCCGAUCGUAGUCCGGAUCGCAGUCUGCAACUCGACUGCGUGAAGUCGGAAUCACUAGUAAUCGCGGAUCAGAAUGCCGCGGUGAAUACGUUCCCGGGCCUUGUACACACCGCCCGUCACACCAUGGGAGUUUGUUGCACCAGAAGUAGGUAGUCUAACCGCAAGGAGGACGCUUACCACGGUGUGGCCGAUGACUGGGGUGAAGUCGUAACAAGGUAAGCGUAGAUGA